rnacentral:lncRNA from 1 species
AAAAAGAAAAAAAAAAGUAGCAGGUCUGUGGAAUUUUUCCUGAGAUGCAUCAAAGGGAUAGAAGUACAGUUCCAGUUGUUUUCCUGUGCCCUCCUUUAAUUACCUAGUUUCUGUGAUGUCACAAUCUAGUUUGGAAUAACCUUAUCAACUUCCUGACUCUUUCUUCUUCUAUCCUAUUUUCCCCUUGUCUCAAAGAAGAAAACUGGAAUGCUAAUAUAAAUAUAAAUAUUGCCACCAAAUUCCGAAAGGGAGAUAACCAGCUCAGGCAUGUGUUAAGGAAAAAUAAUCCUGUGUCUUCUUUGUAUUACUUUGUAGAUUACAGACUAUUUUAUAAAAGUUUGAAAUAAGUCAUACACAGAACGCUUUCUAUCACUAAGCUCACCGGGUAAAAAUCAGAAAAACAAACAUCUCCAAAAUUACCAUUUUCAGAAGUAUCAGAACAACCCUACAAGAAUAAGAGAUGCAAGAAGUAGAAUGGUGAGUAUUUUAGGAACCAAGAUAUUGCCCAGAAGUUUAAGACUCAUUUUAGGUUUAUCCUGCACAUCCAAACUUGUCCUUUCAUAUCCAACAAUUUACCACACCCUAUAGAUUUAACAUAACAAACAGCAAUUCUUUUUCAUCCACCACUGCUUUGGUUUAGUCCCCAUCCCUUCUCACUUUACCAGUUUCCUAACAUGGGCAGGAGAGAGGAUUCCUGUUUAGCCCCAGGACUACUUCAAGGCCAUUCUCUACACUGCUGCCAAGGAAACUUUUCCAAAUUAUUAAUCUAAUGUCACUUUGCUUUGCCUCCUUUCAACAGCUCCCUAUAGUGUUAAAGUUCAGGCUUCCCAGGUUAGCACAGAUAGCUCAUUGUGGUCACACCCCCUCUGUCUCAGUAAUUCAUUCCUUCCAUUACCUCACACAAACCUUUUACUGGUACUGAACCAGAAUACAGCUCUACUAUUGCAUCACGGUGUUUUACACCUUCCUGCCUUCUCAUGUUCUAUUUUUAUUCAGAAACUCUCCCCUUUCCCUUCUUUGCUCUCCUUCCUAGACCUCCCUCCUACACACCCAGCCAACUUGCCAAGAAUCAGUUCAAGAAGUGUUCUGGAAUACCUGAAAGCUCCCUGAAUCCUCCUAUUAAGAUACUCAGAGGAACUACAGUAGGAAAAACAAGACCUCAUAGACUACAUCUGCAAUAAGUCUAGAUCACAAAUGUAACUCUAAAAUAUAAUUUGGUGGGGCUAAGUUAGGAAAAACUACAAGACCUAUAUGGUAUCAAAACAGUAUGGCUGAAAUCAGAGGAAAGACAAAGGGACUGCUGAUGACCCUGAGAGCUGGAAACUCCCAACUAUCAGGCACCCCUAGAAAGCACAGUGGGCUUUUCUGAGAACAACAGGAGACAAUGGGAGAGGAUUUUGAAAGUUCCACUUUGAGAGUAAUGAGGGCAAAUACAAGUGGCCUAAAGAAUGAUCUGAUGGUCCCAGAGAGUUUUGGGGUCUGGGGUCUAUAAACUCUCAAAAGUGACAGACAAAUCAACCCUUACAUUACAGAGCUUAGCCCUAAGGAGAAACUGCUGGUAUUCUAAGCCACAGAGAGCAGAACAGGGACUAUAAGAGUAAGGAAAAACAAGGUGAAGAUAAAACUGAGAAGAGUAGCAGAGGAGGAGGAUCUAAGAGAGCUGUUGUGAGGAUCAAAUAACAGUAAAUGUGAAAGAAGUUUAUAAAUUGCUGAGUGCAAUAUAAGCACAGCUUCAGGGAUUAAAGCCAGAGACCACAAAUGUAAAGCCAGGCCAAGAGUCAGCCUCAGGAUUAAGGACCCCAAGAGGCUGGGGAGGUCAAAAAUCACCCUGAAGACCCCAUCUGUGGAGAUAGGGUGUGUCUCACAGAGAGGUACACCCACAGUGUUUAUGAGGGUUAGGAAACUCCAACACCUUAUGCAAGGAGAUGCCAGCAGGAGGAAAGGAAAGUCAUCAUAGAUGUUUUAGUCCACCAGCAGAUUGUCUGGCCAAUAGGAGUUUGUAAAGAUUUGAGAAUGGCUAAAUGCCAUAUCAGGAAAAGCAUUUGACUGAUAGUAAGAACUAGUUUCACUUACUGUUUCUACUAGUUAUGGAACCGGUUUGAGCAAGUUUUGUUUUGUCUUUCUGGGCUUCAGAUUCUUCAACUAUAAAAAGUCCAGAUCGCUUCUAAAUUUCCAUCAAGCUCUAAAAUAGCACAUUAGUCAUAAGUAAUUCAUUUCUAUUUUCACUAUGCAAAAUAAGAUCAAUCUGACAAAAAUAAAAUAAAAUAAAAACAGCCGUCACCACUAAAAUUUGUGUUUGAUAUGAUUUUGAAGUCUUCCCAUUCACUUGGGAAAAUUCAAGGUUCUAUUUAAGAAGGUUCCAUAAAAAGUCAAAUUAAUAUCCUUUGUACCUACUUCUUUAAGAUGACUGCUUAACAGGAAUUCUGAUAAAUGACAGGAGCUUCUGCCUGUAGCAACCAAUCAAAAUGUAUUAUUAGCGUAACAUUCCCAUGUAACGACAUGCCAAUAAUUAUCUCUUAAAUGGAAAUGUGGAAUUCUUAACUUUCACAUGUACAGAACAUUACAAUCAUUGGGACCUAAAAAAAUUGUAAUUAGAAAUUUCAACUAUGUCACAUUCUAGAUUUCUUGUUGGUUUUGUAAAACUGGCCCCAGAAGAGGAAAGCGCAAGGUCACUAUAAGUGUCCCUCACUUAGCAUAAAACCCAGGACUUAAACUUUCUCAUCUGGAUGGGAACCCUCUCUUCUCUCUUAAUACCUCUUUUUAUCUUUCCUAUCCUCUUUACUGCACCCACAAAAUAAUAUUGUCAGAGCUUUCAUAUUUAUAAGCUAUUGAAGAGAUAAUAGCAGAUAAGAACUUUUUUUUUUUUACUUCACUUUGUAUUUGUUGUUGUUUUGAUUCAGGAAAACAUUGAAUUGUGUUAGUGUAAAGGGGAGAAGAAUAAAUCUAGCCUGAUGAAGAGUGGGAAGAUAUUAAGCAAAUG